AUCACUUCUUGGCCUUUUGGCUAAGAUCAAGUGUAGUAUCUGUUGUUAUCAGUUUAAUAUCUGAUACGUCCUCUAUCCAAGGACAAUAUAUUAAAUGGAUUUUUGGAAUCAGGAGAUGGCAUAGGCACUUGCUCCGUCCACUCCACACAUCGACCUGGUAUUGCAGUACUGCUGGCGACGGUGCACCAAUA
rnacentral:snRNA from 1 species